UAACCGGCGAGUGAAGCGGCAACAGCUCAAAUUUGAAAUCUGGCCCCCAGGGCCCGAGUUGUAAUUUGCAGAGGAUGCUUUUGGCGCGGUGCCUUCCGAGUUCCCUGGAACGGGACGCCAUAGAGGGUGAGAGCCCCGUCUGGUCGGACGCCUAGCCUGUGUAAAGCUCCUUCGACGAGUCGAGUAGUUUGGGAAUGCUGCUCUAAAUGGGAGGUAUAUGUCUUCUAAAGCUAAAUACCGGCCAGAGACCGAUAGCGCACAAGUAGAGUGAUCGAAAGAUGAAAAGCACUUUGAAAAGAGGGUUAAAUAGUACGUGAAAUUGUUGAAAGGGAAGCGCUUGUGACCAGACUUGGGCCCGGUGGAUCAUCCAGCGUUCUCGCUGGUGCACUCCGCCGGGUUCAGGCCAGCAUCAGUUCGCCGCGGGGGAAAAAGGCUUCGGGAACGUGGCUCCUACGGGAGUGUUAUAGCCCGUUGCAUAAUACCCUGGGGCGGACUGAGGUUCGCGCUCCGCAAGGAUGCUGGCGUAAUGGUCAUCAGCGACCCGUCUUGAAACACGGACCAA
rnacentral:rRNA from 1 species